rnacentral:rRNA from 1 species
CUGAGAAACGGCUACCACAUCCAAGGAAGGCAGCAGGCACGCAAAUUACCCACUCCCGGCACGGGGAGGUAGUGACGAAAAAUAACGAGGCGGUUCUCUACGAGGCCCGCCAUCGGAAUGGGUACAAUUUAAAUCCUUUAACGAGGAUCUAUUGGAGGGCAAGUCUGGUGCCAGCAGCCGCGGUAAUUCCAGCUCCAAUAGCGUAUAUUAAAGUUGUUGCGGUUAAAAAGCUCGUAGUUGGAUCUGCGGUCAAGGGAAGUGGUCCUCCGACGGAUGGUUACUGUUUUUCCUGACCUAACUACUUCGGUUUUCCCUUGAUGCUCUUAACCGGGUGUCUUGGGCGACCGAAACGUUUACUUUGAAAAAAUUAGAGUGCUCAAAGCAGGCGUUCAGCCUGAAUAGUGGUGCAUGGAAUAAUAAAAGAGGAUCUCGGUUCUAUUUUGUUGGUAUUGGAUUGAGAUAAUGAUCGACGGGGAUAGACGGGGGCAUUCGUAUUGCGACGUUAGAGGUGAAAUUCUUGGAUCGUCGCCAGACGAACAACUGCGAAGGCAUUUGCCAAGAAUAUGCUCUUCAAUCAAGAACGAAAGCGAGAGGCGCGAACGCGAUCAGAUACCGCGGUAGUUCUCGCCGUAAACGAUGCCAACUAGCGAUCCGCCGGAGUUAAAUGAUGACUCGGCGGGCAGCUUCCGGGAAACCAAAGUUUUUGGGUUCCGGGGGAAGUAUGGUUGCAAAGCUGAAACUUAAAGGAAUUGACGGAAGGGCACCACCAGGAGUGGAGCCUGCGGCUUAAUUUGACUCAACACGGGGAAACUCACCCGGCCCGGACACCGUAAGGAUUGACAGAUUGAGAGCUCUUUCUUGAUUCGGUGGGUGGUGGUGCAUGGCCGUUCUUAGUUGGUGGAGCGAUUUGUCUGGUUAAUUCCGAUAACGAACGAGACUCUAGCCUGCUAAAUAGACAGUGAAUCGUUAGUUCACUGUACUUCUUAGAGGGACAAGCGGCAUCUAGCUGCACGAGAUUGAGCAAUAACAGGUCUGUUAUGCCCAAUCACUAGU